ensembl:snRNA U6 U6 spliceosomal RNA
GUACUCACUUUGGCAGCACUAUACUAAAAUUGAAAUGGUACAGUGAAGAUUAGCAUGGUCCCUGUGCAAGAAUGACAUGCAAAUUUGUGAAGCAUUUCAUAUUAAA